rnacentral:lncRNA from 1 species
GGCUGGACCCAGGUACUCUGAGUCCAACCCAGCUGCCCUGCUCUGGUUGUAGGAGAGUGCUGAGGUGAAGCCCGAGGUUCAGGACAGGGUUUACACCCUGGCCUCUGGGGACAUCGCUGGAAGUGACACUGCUAGAGGAGGACUCCAAGGAACAAAAGAAUUUGGGGGAUCCCGGGACCCAGAAAGAUGACUGACAUUACCACAGCUACAAGGAAAUGGGAGUGUUCAAAGGAGUGACAGGAUACAACCAAGAUAAGACGCAGGUCCGCAUCCUGCCUCUAACAAGUCAGCCCAGUGAGAUGCCUUAAGCCUGGAAGAAAAUUACUUUAUCUUGGAAGCUGGCUGACCUUCAAAACCCAAGGUUUAAGAAAGGUUUCAAAUAGAAAUUAUUACAAUUCA